AAAGAUAAUGUUCGCAUAAGAUCCAGCAGGUACAGACUUAGUCUGUAAAUUAGAAGGUUUUUAACCAUCAGAGGAGUGGACCUUUGGAGAGCCUCUUCAGGGAAAUAAUGAGCGCAGGCUGUCAGAUGCAUUUAUGGAUAGAUUUACGUAACACAGCUGCUUGAACAGCUGGGGCUGGUCACCACAACCCAGGAAGACUCCUUUCGACUUGCUGCUUACUGUGCUGGUGGGGGCAGCCCAGAGAGAUGGGUUAAAUAUGGUCCCUGGGCUCUCUGUGGUGAUUUGCUUGGGGAGCAGGCUGACAGUUGCCUCUUUCAUCCAUGCUUCUGAGGACAGAACAAAUCACCAAUGCUGUAAUAAGGACAGUAAAACAAAGGCAAAACAGCAAGGAACAGAAGGAAUUUGUGCUCUCUGCACUUUUUUUUGGGAUCUAAAUGCAUUGUACACUUCAUUCAAGCUGCAACAACCCUCAAAUACUGAGGCACCCCCAAAUCAGUGCUAUUUAUUCUGGGAGAGAGUCCAUUUUGGUUUGGACUUUGCUUUUGUUUCUCUUGGAGCUGCAUGACAUUGCACAGCUUUUCUAAGGAUAAGAUCACAGAGUACGCACCGUGAAGAUUAAGGGGACUUGUUCAUGGGGAUACUGUGGUUUUGUUAAUGGACAAAAAAGGAGAUUUUUGUGAGCUCAACUUACAUACAAAAUGAAUGUACAUUACUGCGUUCUAAUUGCAAAUAGCUUGGCUGGGGCUUUAAAAGCCUUUCAUUCCAAGUCCACUGUUUGUCAAAUGUCUUUUAAAACUAACCAUGGUUAUAAAGAGCGCAUUAUUAUUGUUAAUACUUACAGGAGCCUUUUCAGCAAUUACCCUGCUCCCGCCCAGUCCAGUACAAACACUCUCCCUAACAUGGAGGGUUGGAAACAACAUGAAUUAAAAGGGGCCCACAUAAGAGGAAAAUAUCCAUUUUCAUAAAGAGUGUGAACCCUGAAAGAACUCUUAAAAGGCUGAAGCCCCAGAGCUGCCUGUUCUGAGAGCAGAGAUCCCCUCCAGCCCCUGUGCCAGCAGUGCCUAGCUUGCAAAAUUUCACCCAAAGUUGGGCCUUUCGGUGCUGUGAGGGAAGUUCUGCCUCUCUCAUUCUGGCCACAGGCAAGCAGGAGACCCUGGAUGAGCAUCUCACAGAUAGACUUUCCUGCCCACUGCCAGCACAGCUGUGAAGUGGAGAACUGCUCCUAGCUUUACUUGACAAGCCCCCAUAUGACUUGGACAGAGAGAUCCCUAUGUCCAGAGAUGAAGACAGAAAUCUGGAUGACAGCAUUUAAAUUCCCAUUGCAAUUGGCUCAGUCUGUGAAGGAAUAGAGUUUAGGAUAACAAAUCCACUGAUUUCCAAUGACACUCCAGUGAACUCUCAGGCACUGACAUCACUUUUGAAAGUACUCCCAAAUUGCUGCAGGAUUUUAUAGUUCAAGUGACUUGACCAAGGCCAUAAAGGAAAGCCUGUAGCACAGCUAGGCAUUAAGUCAGGUCCUCUAAAUCUCUGUGUAGUCCUUUUGGUCCCAAAGAACUUGGUUAAUG
rnacentral:lncRNA from 1 species